rnacentral:rRNA from 1 species
GAUGAACGCUGGCGGCGUGCCUAACACAUGCAAGUCGAACGGAGCUGCUUUGAUGAAGUUUUCGGAUGGAUUUAAAACAGCUUAGUGGCGGACGGGUGAGUAACGCGUGGGUAACCUGCCUCACACUGGGGGAUAACAGUUAGAAAUAGCUGCUAAUACCGCAUAAGCGCACGGUUCCGCAUGGAACAGUGUGAAAAACUCCGGUGGUGUGAGAUGGACCCGCGUCUGAUUAGCCAGUUGGCGGGGUAACGGCCCACCAAAGCGACGAUCAGUAGCCGGCCUGAGAGGGUGAACGGCCACAUUGGGACUGAGACACGGCCCAAACUCCUACGGGAGGCAGCAGUGGGGAAUAUUGCACAAUGGGGGAAACCCUGAUGCAGCGACGCCGCGUGAGUGAAGAAGUAUUUCGGUAUGUAAAGCUCUAUCAGCAGG